rnacentral:rRNA from 1 species
CAAGUCGAGUGCGCGCCCGUAGCAAUACGGGUGGCGCACGGCGCACGGGUGCGUAACACGUGGGCAAUCUGCCCUCGGAUGGGGGAUAACCCCGCGAAAGCGGGGCUAAUACCGCAUGACAUUCCGGAGACUCCGGUCUCUGGACUCAAAGGCCGCAAGGCCGUCUGAGGAGGAGCCCGCGCCCGAUUAGCUAGUUGGUGAGGUAACGGCUCACCAAGGCUUUGAUCGGUAGCCGGUCUGAGAGGAUGGCCGGCCACACUGGAACUGAGACACGGUCCAGACUCCUACGGGAGGCAGCAGUGGGGAAUAUUGCGCAAUGGGCGAAAGCCUGACGCAGCGACGCCGCGUGGGGGAUGAAGCUUCUCGGAGUGUAAACCCCUUUCGACCCGGACGAAUGACCCGCAAGGGUUUGACGGUACGGGUAUAAGAAGCCCCGGCUAACUACGUGCCAGCAGCCGCGGUAAUACGUAGGGGGCCAGCGUUGCUCGGAAUUACUGGGCGUAAAGGGUUCGUAGGUGGUGCGGCAAGUUGGAAGUGAAAUCUCUGGGCUUAACCCAGAGGCUGCUUUCAAAACUGCCGUGCUCGAGUGCGGGAGAGGCCAGUGGAAUUGCAGGUGUAGCGGUGAAAUGCGUAGAUAUCUGCAGGAACACCCGUGGCGAAGGCGGCUGGCUGGACCGCAACUGACACUGAGGAACGAAAGCUAGGGGAGCAAACAGGAUUAGAUACCCUGGUAGUCCUAGCCCUAAACCAUCAGGACUUGGGGUGGCCCGCGUAGGCGGGUCGUCCCGUAGCUAACGCGUUAAGUCCUGCGCCUGGGGAGUACGGUCGCAAGACUGAAACUCAAAGGAUUGACGGGGGC